UUUCUUACAUGUGCAUCUUAAUUGCCUUACAAAUUUAUAAUUUCUAUGUCAUGCUUACAUCAACUUCAUGAUCAUGUACAUAAUUAGUUCUCCGAGGAUUAUGGUUGGAAAGGCUAAUACCGCAUUUUACUUAUGUUUGUGAGUUAGUAGAUUUUCGGAUUAGAUUUCAUUUAGUUUGCUUGAGGACAAGCAAAGUUCAAGUGUGGGGGUGUGAUUAUACUAAUUUAUAUGCGUGUAAUUAUAUUUAAAACACUAUAAUUAAGCUAAUCCUCAUGUCAAUUAUUAUGUAAUUAAUCCACUUUUAUUUAUUUUGUAGAAAAUAAGCGAAGUUGCGGAACCGAGAAAAAUUGUGCAAAAUUGAAGUAAAUUGACAUUUUCCGACAAAAGAUUGAAAAGUCAAUAUUGGUCAACUCAAAGGUGGAUGCGGAAGACUACCCCAAGAUUUAAUUAUCUAUGUGGAUGUGCUUGAAGAUUGGAGGAAGAAACAAUCUUAAUUAAUCAUCAAUUAUGCAUGCCUAAUUAACCGUUAGUUUAAUUAACCAUGCAUGCAUGCCUAAGCCAUUUUGCACGUGCAAGCAAUUAAACAUUGUUUGCUUAAUUGGCUUGUGCCAAUUACAUGGCUACACGUGUUAAACCAUCCAAACCUGAUCAUUUUUUCCACCACGCAAAAACGGAGGCCUGAGAUCUUCUCUUCCUUCUUUGAUCAAUCACAGCCACCCAUUAUCAAUUAUACUCUCCUCUCUCUUCGAGAUAUUUAGACGGAGACCCAGACCCUAUUCCUCUAUUCUCUCUUCUCAAACAGUGCCGCAACCUUGGAGGAGGGCUGCUGCCCUCUCCCUUCUCCCUCUCCCUCUUCCCCUUCCAUUUUUCUUAUUUUGUUUAGUUUUCUUUUGGGUAUUUGGAGGAUUUCUCACUCAAGCUUCAAGGAAUCAUCAUCAAGAGCACCACACCUCUAUUUUAGGUAGUUUGGUGAAGAAAUUGAUUAGUUCAUACUAGCUCAUAGCUAGGAGUGACCAAACUAACUCUCCCCUCUCUUCCUUAUUAUCUAUUCCAUAAUUUUAUUUGCUAUUGAUGAUGUAUUUGACUAUGGGUAGUGAGUAGUUCAAUUUUGGGAGUUAGGGUUGUGAAGCCCUAACUCAUUUUGUAUAAAUAUUGAUGCUUUAAUUUUAAUAAAUGCAAUUUUCAUUGUGCUUUGUCACCCUUUGAAAUUAUGUUGUGGGCAAUUGUGAUGAAUAGAUUGAUAAAUUGACAACUUAUUGGUCUUGUUGCAUCUAGGAUUUAAGUGUGGUAACCAUUAGCUAGCUUAAUUGUAGCUAAGCUUGCUUGGGUCUCUAUUAUCUUGCACUCUAGGCCUCUAAUUUUAGAUAUUGCGGCCUUAACCGGCGUAAUGCCUAAAUUAGAGAGUUGAUUGUGGCCCUAACCGGCAUAAUCGAUACACCGAAAGGAUAAUUGGUUUAGUAGCCUUGACCGGUACUAAAUACGGGACUUAACAUAUAUAGGAAAUGCAUGCAUUUAUGAAAUUGGCACCGAUAUUUGCAAGAUAGUUAGUGUGAAUCACCCGACACUCCCAUAUUCCCAUUAAUUUGAAAUCCAAAUUUAAUUUCUUGCUUGAUAAUUAGUUGUUUGGUUUUACUUUAGUUUGCAUUUAAUUUAGUUAAUUCCCAAUUAAAAACUCCCAAACAAAAUUCUACCUUCCUUUGUGCAUAACUCAUUAGGGCUACAAGUUAGUGGCUUUGAUUAGGCUUAGUGUGAGCUAAGCCGAGCAUUGCCGAGGCUUGGUGCCUUUGUCUUUAUUUCCGAUUACCCAAGGAUUGUGGGUUAGCCACUAAUCCCCGUGGUACGAUAAACUUUGGGCAUAAUAUUUCCCUAUCUUGACAAUGAUACGUACGCUUGCGUAAAGGUGUAUC
rnacentral:lncRNA from 1 species